AGGAGAUAGAGCGUGUGCUUAAAACAGCUCUCAAUGGGAGGAAAGAAACUGAGGGGAGGCUGAUCUGUCAUUAAAUAGGGAUUGAUCCUUCUCUUUAAGUAAAUGUGAAGCUGCAAAUGAACUCAAUAUCACUUGAAGGGUCCUCUUCAGUAGCAGGUGAUGCUAUACAAUGAUUUAAGGUUGAAAUGACAAGGUUUCCACCCCUUAAAUCCUGGCUACUUUGUGACAGUGCAUCGCAACACUGAUAUUUUCAUUCACUCAGCAAACAGGAUUGGAGCUGAGCAGAGCAGAGGGACAAAAGAGUUUUCUAAUCCUUGAUCUCGCAGAUUAUUUUUAGGAAUUUAUUGGAAUCCCUGCUGGAGGAAUGGAUGGAUUUGAGAAAAUGUGUUAGAUCUUUUGGAUGAACACUAAUAGGGUUCUUUGCUCCUGGCUGGAUUACUCAGAGAACUGCAAUGGUCUCUGCGAUGUCCUGGUUCCUGUAUAUGUGGAUAAGUGCCAGUGCCAUGCUGUUCUGUCAAGCAACUCUUUAUGACACCAUACAGCAGCACCACCUACCAAGGCCAGGUAGGAGCGCUCUCGAGAUCCUAGAAGGAGGUACGUGUGAGGUGAUAGCCGCACACAGGUGCUGUAACAAGAACCGAAUUGAAGAAAGGUCACAAACAGUAAAGUGCUCCUGUCUACCAGGGAAAGUCGCUGGGACAACGAGAAACAAACCCUCCUGUGUUGAUGCUUCCAUAGUUAUUGGGAAAUGGUGGUGUGAGAUGGAACCCUGCCUGGAAGGAGAAGAGUGCAAGACAUUACCUGAUAAUUCAGGAUGGAUGUGCUCUUCAGGCAACAAAAUCAAGACCACAAGGAAUACACAGCCUUAUUCAUCUUUUUAGCCUUGGACUCAAAGAUCAAAGAAGGCCUUAAAUCAUGUAUGAUAGAGAUGGAGCAUCACAUGUUUCUAAAAAGAAAGGGAACAUCGUUGCCUAUUUCACCAGACCAGGGCAAGCAGCAAUGAGAAGCCCCAGUGAUCUUAGCUGAUGCCAUCUAUCAAAAGCCCUUCUAAGAUCUCCAUGAUCUUCCUUGUGGCUAAAUUAAUUUAUCUUAGUUUAUAUGACUUGUUUUCAAUAAAGCUUUCAAGCAGUUAAGCUUAGAUUGUUAAGUUUAGAUUGUUUAAUUUUCCACAAAGCAUAUGUUUUCUAUUCGAAGAACAGAAGAUGCUGUGUAAUAAUCCAACAUAAGUGGUUUGAAUUCUCACUUUUAAAAUGGUAAUCUGUCAUCAGUUUUCAGGGCAAAAAAAAUGGUUUGCUAUUUCAUACUUGGCUUUCAAUUUGAAAAAAAAAAGUUAUAAAAAAGUUAUGAUUAAAUUGAACUUAAUUUAACUUUAAGUUAAAUGAAAUUUGGUGGAUGUAGUUUUCCAUUCCACCCUGUCUAUCAUCAUGAGAUUAAUCAGAAAGAGUUUUUGAUACAUGUAGGGAUGUUUUUAGUGUUGGUGAGCGGGAUCCAAAAUUGUACAAUGCUUCCAACAGGAAAUUGGUCAAACGAUUUUAUAAGCAAAUGUAAAUGCUGUCACAGGCUUUAUAACGACUUUUUAAAAAGAUUUUACAUAACUAAUUGCACACCUAUAUAGUGGUACUAGAUUGAGACAUUGAAUAUUUUCUCAAAUAAAACAGGUUAUUAAUAAUAAUAAUAAUAAUAAUAAUAAUAAUAAUAAUAAUAAUAAUAAUAAUAAUAAUAAUAUUUGUAUUGCUUUUAUUGUGCUGCUUUAAAUGUACAUUACAGGAUGCAUAAGGUUAUUGGUAAAUUAUACAGUGAAAAAAAACUGAAGAAAAACCAAAAACCCUGCUACAGCAUUAUUCCAUUGCCUACCAAACCUCAUUUUAUUUGUGCUCCCUUCAGUGACAGCUGUAGAAAAGGACAGCGGUAACACAAAUUAAUCUUUGUCCAAGUUUGUUCUUUAGUGUGACAUGUGUCUACUUACUUCUGACUAAGUGAAUCUGUUGGCUCCUUUCCUUCAACCACAGACAUAUUGGGAUUGACAUUCAUUGUGAGUGGUGAUUAGGUCUUGGCAGCUUUAUUAAUACAGGCAUUAGAGUCCCUGUGGACAAGUUUUAGCAUACCUGGCCUUUAUUGAGAAAAAAUAUGCAAAAUGACUGGAAAUAUUCUAAAUUUCUAAAUCUACCCACAGGGGUCAUUUUAAUUAGCCAGAGUGUAUGCAUAACACCCUGAAUCCUGAUACAGAAACAAAUCAUACUUUAAUCACAUGAACACGUCUUUAUCUGUCAUCAAGACUGAUGAAGGUUAAGCAAAACAUCCUCACGGUCGUGGAUUUCAUUUUUAAUAUACUUUAUUUGUCAUGUGCUGUAAAUCUUCAUAUCCAACAAUACAGACUAGUUUAUACUGUGUAUUUAUCAUCAAGCACAUAAAUAAGGUUACUAAAUACUCAGUGUAUAUACACAGUGCACAAAAGUAUUGACAUCCUCCUGUCUUGACUUCAAAAUGCUCUAAUUCACAUUGCUAUUACAACUUAGGAAAUGAGGUUAUGUAAUAUUAGAAAAUUCUUCUCAAUAAUUGUACGGUUUUGUAAAUUACAGCCUUUUGCAUUGAAAAGCAGGAUGUUUAUUAUGGUUGUCAAACAUCUUGAGUUAACUCAAAUACACACAAAUAAUAAUAAACCAUACUUAAAUCUAAGGAAAACCUUUAAAUAAACUGACCCUAGUGUGAAUAGAAGGAGAUAUGUUGUUAGUUUUACUGUUUAAAAAAAACAACCUUGAAAUACAAACUAUAUUAGUGGAUAUUACAAGUGUGUUCAAACAAUACUUUCAAGAAUAGAUAUCGAUAACUGACUAGGAUCUAAAAAUCACUGCAAGUGGGACUUUAUAAUUGCAGGUAUUUGGAUAAUAGAAGUGAAAUAGUUCCCACUUCCCAGCAGAUCAAAUUGGAAUUUCUUAGACUUUAUAAAGUUGAAAACAGCACAUUAGGUACAAAAUGUAAAUGUAUUGUAUUAUAAAUGGUUUCUCUCUGUAGUAUUGACAUUUGUAUCGCUUUGAUAGUGAACGCUUGCUAAGAUAUUUGUUUGUUUGUUGUACAUGAAAAAGUAAUAAACUUUGUAUUUCUGAAACAUGUAGUCUCUUGUUAUUUUUUAAAAAUGGCAUGGUGGAUGGGUUACAUUAGGUUUGUACGUUUCAUAAUUUCUGCACAGAUUAUUAUUAUUUUUUACUACUGGGGAUGAGUUGAAGUAAUUUAAAAACCUGCAUUAGAGAUUACAUUGUACUUACUGAGUAUCAGUGGUGCGGUCCUAAAAGUACCGGAAUGCUAAAUAAAAUAUAGAUUUUUCUAAAAAAAAAUGUUACAAACUCCCGUUUUAUUUGUACAUUGAACUUGAGGUAACAUUUAAUAGGUAGUGCAUGUGUCCCGCAAGAGACUUUUAGGUUACUCCCCCAGUGCUGCCAGAUUGGUGUUUUUCCGGGCAAAUUUGGCUUGUUUGGAAACAAUCUAGUGGGUUAAUGUUGUCUUUGGAGGUUCAGUUAUUUUUUGGCUGUUUAUAUCAUGCUCUUUUUUUCUAUUACUUUUGAUUUGAUUCUGAGUGUACCAUCAAAAUUGGUAUGUAGGGAAUCAGACACUGAGUUUUUUGUUCCUAGUGCCUAUUCAAUGGAAAGACUAAUUUGAUUUCCCGACAGAAAAUAGAUUGCUUCAUUGAUGCUCAGGCACUGAAAUUAGAGCAGUUGGCCGCUAUAUAAGCAUUUUCAUAACAAAUCGGUAAAUGUUCUUAGAUAAUUCUUAAGUCAAGGUUCUGCCUAUAGAAAAAAGUGCUGGAAUGGCAUUCCGGCUCAACUACACCACUGCUGUGUAUAAAUCAUGGUGCUUAGUUAGGGCUUUAACUAUGAGAGUUCAUUUGAAUGCCCAAAAUUCCAUAAUAAAACCUCUGAAAUCAGUUAAAAACAAAGGUUCCUCAAAAGGUACACUGCUGCGCAAAAGUCUUAGACAUGUUGCAUUUUUCUACCUGAUGCAUUAUGAGCAUCAACAAUUUACUCAAAGCCUCCACUGGUGUUUUCUACUAUCAUAACAACCUUGACUUGCAUAAAGAAGGAAAAACAUUGAGUGAAAUAGCUCACAUCACUCGAUUUUCAAGGUGUGGUAUCAAAGCUGUUUGCACGAUUAAAAUUGUGUACCUCUCAAAAGCAAUGCUUACUUGACGGUUGCUCAUUAGUCAUGUCAAUAUUUUCUCGUUGUUUGUGUACCCAAGAGAUAAUAUAUAUUACGUUUGCAGGAAAGUGAUAUAUAAUGCCCUGAUCAUUUAUCAAGUUCCUAAUGUUUUAUUGUAUUUUCUUUGUCACUGAAGCCUAUGUACAAUGUUGUUUUGACUAAAUAAGAAAGUAAUUUAUAAGACAAGUCACAUUUAGCCAGUUUUCUGGUAACUGGGAAUAGAAAGAUUAGUUUAAAAAUGUUUUCUAAAAUAUU